UUGAAAGGGAAACGAUUGAAGUCAGUCGUACCGACGAGAAAUCAGCUUUUCGAAUGUGCAUUUGUGGGCGUAUGAGAUCUUCAUUGUUUGCAAUAUGUUAUUUCUUUGGUGUACUUUUUCGUAUGGUAGGUCAACGUCGGUUUUGAUCGCCAUAAAAUGAUCGGAGGAAUGUAGCUUCGACCUCGGUUGAAGUGUUAUAGCCUUUGGUAAAUGUGGUGAUUAGGACCGAGGAUUGCAACGAAUACCUUUUAGGCUAUCCGUCUGACCUCUGAAAGUUACUUGGGUGUCGAAAGCUUGCUUACGGCCAUUUAAGUUAACGGUCAAAAGGUUAGAACGUGAUUACAUUCGUUAAGGAUGUUGACGUA
rnacentral:rRNA from 1 species